rnacentral:rRNA from 1 species
UGGGGAAUAUUGCGCAAUGGGCGAAAGCCUGACGCAGCAACGCCGCGUGUGUGAUGAAGGCCUUCGGGUUGUAAAGCACUUUCGGUUGGGAAGAAGGGUGUAUGUGCUAACAGUGCAUGCAUUUGAUGGUACCAAAAGAAGAAGCACCGGCUAACUUCGUGCCAGCAGCCGCGGUAAUACGAAGGGUGCGAGCGUUGUUCGGAAUUACUGGGCGUAAAGGGUUCGUAGGCGGAAUUGUAAGUUAGAUGUGAAAACUUCGGGCUCAACCCGGAACGUGCAUCUAAAACUACUUUUCUUGAGUGUUGGAGAGGGCAGUGGAAUUGCUGGUGUAGGAGUGACAUCCGUAGAGAUCAGCAGGAACACCGGAGGCGAAGGCGACUGCCUGGCCGAACACUGACGCUGAGGAACGAAAGCGUGGGGAGCAAACAG